UACAGAGGGUGCGAGCGUUAAUCGGAAUUACGUGGGCGUAAAGCGUGUGUAGGCGGAUCGUUAACGUGCCUUGUGGAAAUCCCACGGCUUAACUGUGGAACGGCUGGGCAUACUGGCGGUCUUGAGCCAUCUAGGGCGACUGGAACAACGGUGGAGCGGAUGAAUGCGUAGAUAUCGUUGGAACGCCAAUGGUGAAAACAGGUCGCUGGGAUGAGCUGACGCUGAGACAGAAAGCCAGGGAGGCAAACGGG
rnacentral:rRNA from 1 species